rnacentral:tRNA from 1 species
GGGAAGAUAGCAUAAUGGUUAUGCAAAGGACUUUCAUGCUGAGAGUCUGAAGUCCUAGGUUCAAUUCCUGGUUCUGUCA